rnacentral:rRNA from 1 species
AACGAACGCUGGUAGCGUGGAUUAGGCAUGCAAGUCGAACGGGAUCAGCUGGUUAGCAAUAAUUGGCUGUGAGAGUGGCGGAUUGGGGAGGAACACGUGAGCAACCUGCCCUUGAGUUGGGGAAAACCGUUGGAAACGACGGCUAAUACCGGAUGUGGCGCCUGACGGCAUCGUCGGAGCGCUAAAGGGGGCCGCAAGGCUCUCGCUCGAGGAGGGGCUCGCGCACCAUCAGCUAGUUGGCGGGUAACGGCCCACCAAGGCUUACGGUUAGCUGGUCUGAGAGGAUGACCAGCCCCACUGGGACUGAGAUACUGCCCAGACUCCUACGGGAGGCUGCAGUCGAGGAUCAUUUGCAAUGGGCGAAAGCCUGACAAUGCGACGCUGCGUGGAGGAUGAAAGGCCUUCGGGUCGUAAACUCCUGUCAUGAGGGAACAGGCGAGGAUACCCAACACGUAUCUUAGUUGAGUGUACUUCAAGAGGAAGGGGCGGCUAACUCUGUGCCAGCCGCUGC